UCUUCACAGGCCACAUCUGAUCUUUUUAGAUGGUUUUGUGUACAAAGUGGAAGCCCUGAAAAUCCACGAGUCAUACUGAUUCAUGGUUUCCCUUCACAGGCGUAUUCUUAUCGCAAAGUUCUACCAAUUCUCUCAAAGAAUUAUCAUGCUAUUGCUUUUGAUUGGCUAGGAUUUGGCUUUUCAGAUAAACCUCAACCCAAAUAUGGCUUUGACUACACUUUGAAUGAAUAUGUCUCAUCCUUGGAAUCUGUUAUCAAUGAACUCUCAAAAGAUAAGGUUACUCUUGUUGUCCAGGGAUACUUUUCACCAGUU